GACGAACGCUGGCGGCGUGCUUAACACAUGCAAGUCGAACGGUAAGGCCCUUCGGGGUACACGAGUGGCGAACGGGUGAGUAACACGUGGGUGACCUGCCCUGCACUUCGGGAUAAGCCUGGGAAACUGGGUCUAAUACCGGAUAGGACUCCGGACUGCAUGGUCUGGGGUGGAAAGCUUUUGCGGUGUGGGAUGGGCCCGCGGCCUAUCAGCUUGUUGGUGGGGUGAUGGCCUACCAAGGCGACGACGGGUAGCCGGCCUGAGAGGGUGACCGGCCACACUGGGACUGAGAUACGGCCCAGACUCCUACGGGAGGCAGCAGUGGGGAAUAUUGCACAAUGGGCGCAAGCCUGAUGCAGCGACGCCGCGUGAGGGAUGACGGCCUUCGGGUUGUAAACCUCUUUCAGCAUCGACGAAGCGAAAGUGACGGUAGGUGCAGAAGAAGGACCGGCCAACUACGUGCCAGCAGCCACAGUAA
rnacentral:rRNA from 1 species